CCUGUUGCCCUGUAGAAGACAUACAAGGAUCAUAGCGGUGGUUUUUCCAGGGCCCAGCCUGUCCCUUGCACUCGGGGCCAGCUGACCUCUGCAAGCUUCCCUAGGUGUGGGAAACUCAACUGCAGAGAAUUUUGUGGCAAUGAGGGAAUGUUUUCUUGUUUUCCCCCU
rnacentral:snRNA from 1 species